rnacentral:rRNA from 1 species
AGUCAAUAGAUACCCUGGUAGUCCACGCCGUAAACGAUGAGUACUAGGUGUAGGAGGUAUCGACUCCUUCUGUGCCGCAGUUAACACAAUAAGUACUCCGCCUGGGAAGUACGGUCGCAAGAUUAAAACUCAAAGGAAUUGACGGGGGCCCGGCACAAGCAGCGGAGCAUGUGGUUUAAUUUACGAAGCAACGCGAAGAACCUUACCUAGACUUGACAUCUCCUGAAUAGCGCAGAGAUGCGUGAAGCCCUUCGGGGUCGAGAAGACAGGUGGUGCAUGGUUGUCGUCAGCUCGUGUCGUGAGAUGUUGGGUUAAGUCCCGCAACGAGCGCAACCCCUACUUAUUAGUUGCUACCAUUAAGUUGAGCACUCUAAUGAGACUGCCCGGGUU